CCCUUCGGGGUGAGUGGCGGACGGGUGAGUAUCGCGUAGGGAUCUAUCCACGGGUGGGGGAUAACAUCGGGAAACUGGUGCUAAUACCGCAUGAUACCUGAGGGUCAAAGGCGCAAGUCGCCUGUGGAGGAGCCUGCGUUCGAUUAGCUUGUUGGUGGGGUAAAGGCCUACCAAGGCGAUGAUCGAUAGCUGGUCUGAGAGGAUGAUCAGCCACACUGGGACUGAGACACGGCCCAGACUCCUACGGGAGGCAGCAGUGGGGAAUAUUGGACAAUGGGCGAAAGCCUGAUCCAGCAAUGCCGCGUGUGUGAAGAAGGUCUUCGGAUUGUAAAGCACUUUCGACGGGGACGAUGAUGACGGUACCCGUAGAAGAAGCCCCGGCUAACUUCGUGCCAGCAGCCGCGGUAAUACGAAGGGGGCUAGCGUUGCUCGGAAUGACUGGGCGUAAAGGGCGCGUAGGCGGUUUACACAGUCAGAUGUGAAAUUCCAGGGCUUAACCUUGGGGCUGCAUUUGAUACGUGUAGACUAGAGUGUGAGAGAGGGUUGUGGAAUUCCCAGU
rnacentral:rRNA from 1 species